AUAGAGUCAAGUGAAUAAGUGCAUCAGGUGGAUGCCUUGGCGAUGAUAGGCGACGAAGGACGUGUAAGCCUGCGAAAAGCAUCGGGGAGCUGGCAAUAGAGCUAUGAUCCGGUGGUGUCCGAAUGGGGAAACCCACUGCAUUCGGUGCAGUAUCCCUACCUGAAUCCAUAGGGUAGGAGAAGCGAACCCGGAGAACUGAACCAUCUAAGUACCCGGAGGAAAAGAAAUCAACCGAGAUUCCGCAAGUAGUGGCGAGCGAACGCGGAGGAGCCUGUAUACGAUAGCCGUUGAGAUAGAAGAACAAGCUGGGAAGCUUGACCAUAGUGGGUGACAGUCCCGUAUUCGAAAUUUCAACGGUGGUACUAGGUAUACGAAAAGUAGGGCGGGACACGUGAAAUCCUGUCUGAAGAUGGGGGGACCAUCCUCCAAGGCUAAAUACUCAUCAUCGACCGAUAGUGAACCAGUACCGUGAGGGAAAGGCGAAAAGAACCCCGGGAGGGGAGUGAAACAGAACCUGAAACCUGAUGCAUACAAACAGUGGGAGCGGACAAGUUCCGUGACUGCGUACCUUUUGUAUAAUGGGUCAACGACUUACGUUCAGUAGCGAGCUUAACCGGAUAGGGGAGGCGUAGGGAAACCGAGUCUUAAUAGGGCGACUAGUUGCUGGGCGUAGACCCGAAACCGAGUGAUCUAUCCAUGGCCAGGAUGAAGGUGCCGUAACAGGUAUUGGAGGUCCGAACCCACGCAUGUUGCAAAAUGCGGGGAUGAGCUGUGGAUAGGGGUGAAAGGCUAAACAAACUCGGAGAUAGCUGGUUCUCCCCGAAAACUAUUUAGGUAGUGCCUCGAGUAUGAGACUGAUGGGGGUAAAGCACUGUUAUGGCUAGGGGGUUAUUGCAACUUACCAACCCAUGGCAAACUAAGAAUACCAUCAAGUUGCUCCUCGGGAGACAGACAGCGGGUGCUAACGUCCGUUGUCAAGAGGGAAACAACCCAGACCGCCAGCUAAGGUCCCAAAUGACAGAUUAAGUGGUAAACGAAGUGGGAAGGCCCAGACAGCCAGGAUGUUGGCUUAGAAGCAGCCAUCAUUUAAAGAAAGCGUAAUAGCUCACUGGUCGAGUCGUCCUGCGCGGAAGAUGUAACGGGGCUCAAAUCUGUAACCGAAGCUGCGGAUGCCGCAAGGCAUGGUAGGGGAGCGU
rnacentral:rRNA from 2 species